UCUACCUUAUCCAAGAGGAAAAUACCUCCUCCAUUUUCUGUAGUUUGUACCGUACCCCUACUAAGCGGCCGCGGCGGCCGGCUGCUGGCGAGCGAUUCCCCCGGCGUGCUUCCGCGCCGCCGUCAGCCAUGCCCGCUUGCGGCCGUCACAUUCGCUGCCGGCUAAGCGGGUUCCUCAUUUCCCCUCGUGUCUCGCCGAAACGCCCCCAAUCCGCUGCCGCUGGCCUGGCGAGGGACUCCGUCUGAAGACAUCUGCCACUGGCAUGAACCGAAUAUGUAUGGGGAAUAGGGGACAAAAUCACAGCAAUGUCAGGAUAAGAUCAAUCCUCACGGGUUCACAUCACAUUAUUCAACCGUUGCAGAAUCCACUAAUAGUAUUACAAUAUGAUCUAGUAACAUGAAACUGCUACGAUCGUUUGAAUACUACAGUCACUUUGCAGGAGCCAAGAACUGGGUGAUACAGGAUGGUGUCCUGUCCAGAGCAUGAUAACUGCAUACCUGGUGCACCACAAGGUGGAGGUUGGGUUGCAAGCCUGAAUGGGAACCGG